rnacentral:rRNA from 1 species
AUUGAACGCUGGCGGCAGGCCUAACACAUGCAAGUCGAACGGUAACAGGAAGAAGCUUGCUUCUUUGCUGACGAGUGGCGGACGGGUGAGUAAUGUCUGGGAAACUGCCUGAUGGAGGGGGAUAACUACUGGAAACGGUAGCUAAUACCGCAUAACGUCGCAAGACCAAAAGAGGGGGACCUUCGGGCCUCUUGCCAUCGGAUGUGCCCAGAUGGGAUUAGCUAGUAGGUGGGGUAACGGCUCACCUAGGCGACGAUCCCUAGCUGGUCUGAGAGGAUGACCAGCCACACUGGAACUGAGACACGGUCCAGACUCUACGGGAGGCAGCAGUGGGGAAUAUUGCACAAUGGGCGCAAGCCUGAUGCAGCCAUGCCGCGUGUAUGAAGAAGGCCUUC